UUAUGAAGGGUUUGUGAUGGGGAUGCACUGAAGUAAGGGCUCCUCCAGCAAGGAUAGAAAAAAAAACUUCUGGCUUUGCCUGUAGUUUAUGGUGUCAUUCCAAAGCCAAAAAAAAACUAAAAUCCAAGGAAGAUGAUUAGUUUGGGGAACAUCUGAAAGGUAUGGUGUGUUCUGCCUGGGUGGGCACUUUCACUGGUAGGUUGAAAUGGUGGUGAAAGCAUCUUCUUCCUGAGGCGGGGAGGGGGCACAUCUUCCCCGCAGCCCGUCGCAGUGGAAGCUGGGGGAGCAUCUUCCUCAAAGCAAGGGGGAGGAGGAACCAGUGCUUGUUCCGAGUUGCUUUGCCCCUCCAAUUCCUCCCAGAGUCAAGCUAUGCCAGGGCAGAGAAGCCAGGCUUUCAUCGCUUCAGGGAGAAGGCAACUGGUUUCUCUCCAAGAAAGCCUGUAGCAGCUAGAGAUGGAAAAGCCUUUGGAGGUCCCUUAGUCAUUCUCUCUUUUCUCUCUCUCUCUUUACAGUACAAAUGAGAAUGUCCAUGCUGUCCAUGCUAGGUUUGCAUGUCUCUUGCAAAGGUCUUCCAACCCCUUAGUUUAAAUGGAAUAUUAUUCCCAGAUGGAAAAGCUCAUCUGCUGGCAAGGUCAGAAAUAUAAUUUGUUUAUAUACAUUCAGUGCAACUAAAAAGAAAAAAAAAGAGAGACAGAAGAAAAUUCCUUCACCAUGUCGUACUUGUUACUUGUCAAGUUGUGUACCCUGUCAGUAAAGCCGUGCUCUUGAACAGGCAGGAAUGGCGUGGCCCCAAAGACCAGUGGUAGGAACGAGGAGACACAGCGUCUGUGGCUCUGGCUUGCUGGGAGUGUGCUACAUAGUUUUCAUUUUCUGCAUGCAUGAUUAAAAUUAAAGACUCAAAAAAAAAAUAAUAAUCUUGGCCUUAGCAGUGGGAACCGCACAGAUGUGAACUGAAUGAAAAGCUGACAUUUUUCGCUGCUAUGUCACCACUUCCUCUGACCUGAGGACAGAUUUGUCUCAGAGGUUUCUGCAGCGCAGGCAAAGGCAUGUUAUCAUUUUCAGAAAUAAUGGAAAAAAUGUACGACGAUCAGGGUCUCAUGAUGUUCUUUCUUUGCCUUGUUCUGGGUGGGUCUAGCAGCUUUUCAAAGUCCCAGAUCUGCUGGCGAUUUUCUCCCUGCCUUUGAAGUUGAGGAUCUGAAGCGCUUUCCCAAGCGGACCCACGCAGCCUUUCCUACAGCCAGCGAAGGCACACGCACACCCUGCGAGCCCUGCACGUUGUGUGGAAGAAUACCCCCACGAACCACGUCUGCAGCUACGGGCUCCAUGUGGUAAUGAGGUUCAUAAAUGAUCUCCUGGGAGGAGGAAAGCAGGCAGCCGGGCUGGGACCCUGCAGGUUGCUCUGCACAGACACCCUCAGCUCUCUGCCAAGGGACGGAGAAAGUUGUUGGCUGGAAAUCCAAGCACUUCACGCGGUGCCUUACCGUGGGGUUACCGGGGUGAACAGACUAGAGUUUCACUUCCAAAGAACUAGGUUCACAUUUUGGUUUCGGUCACAGAGGGAAUUAUGUUGAAAGGGCUUUUAAUCCCUUGGGAAGCUGUCCAGUCCCUGGGGAUAUCGCUGCUUAAUCAUGCAGGGUCAUUCUUUCACAAGAUAGGGCUUGUUCAGGGACUUUUAUGGAUUUUUGUUUGUUUGCUUACUUUUCAAGUGAGACUAUUUUUCAAUUUAAUUGGGGGUUGUUUGUGUGAGCGGCUUUUGCUUUCAGAAGGCUGUUGAAAGAUUUUUGGUGUAGAAAAAGUUGAACAUCCUUUCCUCUGGCCGUAAGGUACGCAGAACCAGAAAAUGCAGCUCGGAGAGGGAAACAGGGGAUCUGCGACAUCUUCAGAAGUGCCCUUGAAAAGGUUCAAGAGAAAAAUUGUUGACCUGAGAAGCACUGGAACAAAUGUGCGCUCACUUCCAGGUGUGCUCUGAAGAUGUACCUACCUACUUUCAUCAGGAAACUGUUACAGAAAUAUACUUCCUGCUUUGCCAUGGACAGGAAUCUUACAAUUAGGAAACAAGUAAACAAAUUGUCUCCAGUGGUCACACGUGUGGCACCGUUGUGCCUAACUGCUGCUGUUUGCCAAGCCAUUCUGCAGGCUCCAUCAGCUGCCUCGGUGUCCUGUUGUAAGGGGGCUGGGGGAGUUUGAAGAAUGGCAUGACUAGGGGUGAUCACUGCUCAGAGAGGUCAGAAGUAUUUUGUGAUGUUUUGGAUCCCAUGCAACUGUACCAGCGGGGCUGAAGUUUUUUGAUUCUGUUUUGUCUACUGAAUGGGAAGUGGAUCGCUAGCAGAGUACAGGGACCUCCACCUCCUACCCAUUGCUUCCAACAGCGGUUGCCAAAAGCUGUGGUCACCUAACCACUGAAUAUAGUCCUAUACGAAGUACCCAAGAGUGCAUGUCUGCACUGUGAAAUCCCCAAGGGCGGGCAGCACUCAGAGCUGUCAUCAGCAAUCAGUCAUUUAGGACUUCUUCAGGUCUGCUUACCAUCAAAUGUAGCAUUGUGGUGGUGACAUGGACUUGUUACAGCUAGAAGCAAAGAAUGCAGAAAAUAAUGGAUUUUGACCAUAAAGCUUGAAAUUCUCACAGGUUUAGUGUUUUGAGUAAGGCGAUGAUCCAAAGCCUAUAAAGGCAGAAGAAAAACAGCCUUUGGCUUCAGUGGGCAUUGCGUCAGGCCUUCACAUGACUAGCUAUCAGCAGACUUCAUUCUGUAUAAUUCUCUAUGAAAGAAGUGUUAGUUCUCUGGCAUACAGUCAACCGAGGAGGAAUAAGAUGCUCCGUGUGUUUGCAACUUACCCUUCUGGCGAGCAGACACUCUCAGCACUGAAAGCAACAGAGAUGUUCCCUCACAGCCGGCGCAGAGGCACCUAGCUGUGCUUUGCAACUGUUCCUUCCCACUAAGUCAUCACAAGAGAGAGAAUUAGCAGAGACUUGUCGCAUACCCAAAUCUGAAUGCUGUGUUAUAUUUAAACAAGCACAGGAAAGAGUUGAGAGACUCCACGACCCCGGUGAACUGGGGAUCAGUUGUUCUAAACUGGAAGGCAAAUGUCAGAAGAUCAGAUUACAAGUGUCUACCAGCAUGUUUUCACUGUGCGGCGGGUCAGCUGGAGUUCAGGCCCUGCAAAUACUGAGGAGGUGGUUCCAGAGCAGUAAGCACUUGAGCAAUUGCUAGCUCCGGUGGUCUGAGCUUGGGCAGGAUUUCAUAACAUGUCUGCAAGCCAAAAGCUUCUUCGACUGCUAAUUUAAUAAAGGAGAGUGAACCACUGGGUAAGUCCCUGGAAGAUAGACUAAAUCAGGCUAAUUUGUUAUAUAAUCUCUUUUUAAUGUGGAGAAUUAAGGUGACGGCAAGAUGACUGUGUUUAAUACUCCAAAUAAUUACUGGUGGUUAUUGACAUUAAAGAUGGGAGAGAGCAAGUUAAUUUCUGCUUGUUGUUUUCAACAUGUGCCAAACUCUUACUUCACACCAGUGAGGAAAGGCUAGAAGUUGUGUAUUCCAUAUGCAUGAAGUAACAGUUGGCACAAAUCACUGAGGGGAGAAAAAUAAAAACCACUAAAGCCCAGCAACCCAAACUGUCA